ACUUGAAGAAAGUAUAGGAAAUAUGUUUAAAAUUAUUAGUCAAUUUAACAGAAAUAUGUUUAAAAUUUAGAAAUUGUAGUUAAAAAACUACAGGAAAGAUGUUUAAACUUACAGAAAGAUUUUUGUAAACUACAAAAAAGAUAUUUAAACUCUGAAAAGUGCUAAGCGUGCUGAUACUGUUGGUAUAUGUGUAUAUAAUGUGUUAGCUUUAUGCUUUAGAGAGAGAUUUUAUUAUUUAUUUAUUUAUAUUUGUUUAUUUUUGUCAAGAUUUGCUAGUGUUAUUUAUUGGGAGAAAGGAUUAAUUGUGUUUUGUGACCUAGAUAGGUGUUUUCAACUAGAUUUUUCUUUUUGUUACUUUCAUGUUGACAGAUGCCAAUUUUUGUGGGACUCUUUUUUUUUUUUUUUUUAAAUGAUUUUAAGUGCACCAAAUAUUUGUUUUGCCCCCUUUUUUACACAUUGUUAGAUAUAUGUUUCAUUUUUUAUUUUUUGUUUAUGUUGCUGGAAAAGAAAAUUAUCUAGCUUUUUAGAAUAUUCUUUAAGAUAAAAGCUUUUUUCCUGCCAUUUAAGUUCAACUUAUUUCUUCUUAAAUAAAUAGAAAUCAAAACAAUUGAUCUUGAUUUCAGUUUUAAAAAAUGUAAUUAAGUUAAAGGUAAAAAUAAGAAUAGUGAAAAAGAAUUGGUAUUUCAAAAAAGAUUUCGGAUUGAGAUAAAUUUGACAUUAUUGACAGAAUCAGAGGGUUUUUUUAUGGCACGGGUUGGGAUUGGGUAAAAAGAUAUUCCUAUACAAAUUUUGAUGUUUUUUUUGUUUAAAAAGUUAAAGGGUAAUUCACUAUCUGCAGGUAAAUGUUUCUUUCUGAAAUUGAAAGAAUUAUUUUUGUUAAUUUCUGAUAAGUCAAGCAGCUCAUGUAAGUUAUAACUAACCCAUUUGGGGAAAAAAUUAAUGUAACUUUUUGUUGAAGAAAUUAUUCAAAUCUUAAUUUACUGAAUAUCAGUUUUGUUUCCUACCAAUUCUUUUGCAUCACUUUUGGAUAAUUUUCUCAUAAUUUUGAGUUCAAAAUAAUCAGAAGUUUGUAAUUUUUUCAGAUUUCUUUUUCUCAGAUUUUUUUUUUUUUUUUUCAGAUUUUUUUUUUUUUAAUUUUCGUUGAGAUUUUUUAAAAACUUGUUUCACAAUGUAGGAAAUAGAAUGUUUAUUUAAUAUUUAUAAGUUACAUAUGAUUUGUUAUUAUAUAUGUACAAGGCAUUAAAAAAUGUUAUGUUAUGAAACUGUACAUUACACGACAUAAUUUGUACACAGGCAUACAAUAUAUAUGAUAGCCUAUUGUAUGUAAUGUGUAGCAGUACUGUUGAUGAUAUAUGCAUAUGUGUAAAGUGCAGUAUAUUGUAUACAAUUGUAAAUACACAACUUAUAUGCCAUGUUCUCAUAUCACUGAUAAGAACGCUUGAUACGUGUUCUGCAUAUAGUUUCAAAUUACAAACAAUUUGUUUGAAAAGGUUUUGCACUUGUGUAUACACAAAACAUAAUAAAAAAAAAUGUUGGUUUCUUUACAUUGUAAUAUAAACAUGUUAAAUAACAAAAUUAUGGUGUUGAAAACUCCGUUAUCUCAUACAAAGUUGAAAAUAGGAUAUGCAAACUUUCAGAAAGAAUUCAGACUUUUUCCGAUCACUUAUACAGACGUAUUUCCAAAUUCUUGCUUGUAUAAUACUUGUAUAUAUAAAGGGAUUGAUAUUGUUCACAAUCCUUUUAAUCCCCUUACCUGCUGGAACCGAAAAGUGAUUUGCAUUUGCCACUAGUAUAGAGCCAGGCCAGUCUACACAUAUGUUGGUAGCUCAAUAUUUCAAAUUUUGAUAUUGAAAUCCCUUUAACAUUGAAUGGACUGUUCCAAAUUCAAAGCUGGGCAAGUCCAUUACACAAAUUCAGCAGGUUUAGGGUUGAAACAAAAGUUUAAAAACUUUGUAUAUGAAAAUACAGGCAUUUUUCUUCUAUCCAUCUUCUCAUUUACUGUACCUAGUGCUUUUAUUACCCACCCUUCGAAUGCUGAAUUUUUCAUCUUAACAUACCUAUUAUUGAUAAUGGGCAGUUCCAAGAGAGAAAUUGGACAAGUCCAUUUUGCGAAAUUCAGCAAGAGAAGGGUCAUGGACUGAUAUGAAAAUGUAUUAAGAUGUGUUGUUUGUUUCACGGUAUAUUAUUUAUAAAAAAACAGUGUGAUUUAACUCCCAAAGAGUCAAAAAGAGGGUGCUUUUUUAUUUAAAAAUACAAUUUACACUUCCUAAUAUUUGUUAUGUAUUGUAAAAUAGCUUGACAAGUUGUACGUAAAUUCUACUCAUUUCUCUCGAUGCAAAAAGUCACUGAGCACAAAGGUUUUUUUUUAUACGUGAGUAGAGGUUGGACAAGUCAACUCAGUAGCUUUGGUUUGAAAAGAUGCACGAUUAUUGCAUGGAGGAAUUUUCAUGUUGGCUACGAAUAUUUUGUCAAGGGAUGUCCAUGCUUGAGCAGAAAAACACUUUUUGGCUUUUUGCAUUAGAUUGAUGAAAAAACCCUGUAAAUUGUGUCAUGAACAUAUUGAAUGUACUUUCUGUCGUUGUUAUUGUUUUGUGUGUAAAAAAAAUAAACAAUUUAUAAUGCCAUAAUAAAUAGUUGUUACAGUGACUGGAAGUCACGUCACAUAUCUAUCAUUGCCUAAAUCACUUUAGCUUCUGUUAUUCAGUACAGAGAAUUGGGUUUAUGAGAACACCUGCUGUUUUACGUAUUUGAAUCAAAGAAAUGAAAGAAAGAGAAUAAAUUUUUUUUUUGCUGUAUCAUCUUAAUAGUGUUAAUGAAUUAAAUUUUUUUGAAAUCCGAAAAGGGAAUUUGAUAUAGAUAUAAAAAAAAUUGUUAAUUAUAUAUUUUUGACUUUUGUUAAAGUUUGGAACGUCUUUUAAAAAAAAAAUGUUUCUUUUUUUUGUUUUUACUUGUUCAAUUUAAAGUAUUUUUGCUGCUUGUAUUUUUCGAAAUGAAGCAGGUUUGUUUGUGGCCAUAAUUAAUAGGCCUUUCUUUUUGAAAUAUUUUGUGUGUGUUUGUAUUUGUUAGUAUCGUUCUAUCUAUAAAUUGACUUAUAGUAGUGAAAAAAAAAGCCAUGAAUUAUGUUUAUUGCCACAAAGAUUUGUUUAUACAUAAUGUUUAUUAUAUAAGUACCGUAAUAAUGUGCUGUACAAAGUUUUGCCUUUUCUAAUUGGAUGUAUAAAGAGCUGUGAUUUACCGAUGUUUGUGACGAGGAAAACCAGAUAGCAAGAUAUAAACGUCUUGAUAUCCCAUUGUAAUAAAAAAAUGCUCUUUUUAGUUCAAAUCCUGAUCGUAUUUUUGAUUGUUAUUUUACAUCAUUUUAUUAUCAUUUUAUGCUUAAAAGAAAAAUCAUCAUGUCAAGCACAACAUACGACCUUUGAGGUAUCAUUCCUUUUAUGAAUACAUUAACCUUUAGCCUGCUGGAAACCAAAAACGUGUUUUGCCCUUUGCCGCCAGUAUCCGUGCAGUCCGACCAGGCUGACUGACUUAACUUUAAAAUUUUCAUCCUGAUAUACUUAAAAUUGAUAAUGGACAGUUUCAAAAUUGGAAGCUGGACAAGUUCAUUUAUGAAAUUCAGCAGGUUAAGGGUUAAGAAAGAAUAUUUGUUUUCAUCACUAUAGUCAUUCCUGUCAUCUGUUGCUGUACAAAAAACCGCUUUGACACAUUUUACACCAAGUGUAAUUUUUCAUUUUUCUCACAUCGAGGGAGUUCUGAUUUGCUUAUGGAAGGAAUGUUAGGAACAGUUUUGUCUUUUUUGUGAAAGUUGUCAGGUAGUAAAAAAAAGGAGAAGUCAUAUGUUUAAAGUUUACAUUGCAAUCGUUUAAUAAUUUAAAUAAAUCAAUUGUUUACCCAACUUGAAAUUUAAGUAUGUCAUUAUCUAUAACCUGUGCUGUAAGUUUUGCAAAUAGGAAACCAGUGUAAGGGUGUUUGUUUAUAAUUCUUACAAAAAUAUUAGUAACAUAAUUGCCAUGGUUUAAGGAUAACAAUUGAAAACAAGCUUUUGAGAAAGUUAAGAAACUUUUCUAGAUUGUAAUGAAGUGAAUUUCAAAUUUGAAGCUACAUGUGUGUAGAGAGAGAGAAAGUUUGACUUAGCUAUGAAUUGUGACUAAGGUAUGGCAUUUAACUAAGAAAAUGAUUCAAAUAAGGAAUGGAUUUUAAUGGUAGGGGAUUUUAACCAAGGUAUGGAUUUUAACUAGGAAUGGAUUGUAACAAAGGUAUAGAUUGUAACUAAGGAAUGGAUUGUAACCAAGGAAUGGAUUGUAGCUAAAGUAUGGAUUGUAACUAAGGUAUAGAUGUAACUAAGGUAUAGAUUUUGACUUAGGCAUGGAUUGUGACUGUAGUAUGGAUUAAGGUAUAGAUUAUCAGAAAAGUAUGAAAUAUGACUAAGGCAUUAAUUGACAGGAAACUGUUUUCUGUUUGAGCUCCUGACACAUCAGCUAGCUUUCUGUGUUGGCCAAGCCGCCAUCUUGUACAUAUACAACUCUUUGAAGGUGCUUAUAACGCUGGUGCGGUCAUUUUUUUUUUGUCAUCUUUUUAUUAUCAUACUAUCAGUUUUACUGAUAAAAACCAUGGCAACAGUUUGAACAGUAAUUAACAAUUAUAUUCAAAUAAAGGUAACAGAUUAACCUUUUGAUUCAGUACAUAAAAGUAACAUCAGAUUUUAUUGUAACAAAAAAGGUUUUUAUUAAAGGUUUUAAGAAAAGUGUUUAUUUUAUCAAGGUUUUAAGAUAGAAAAUCAAUAUUGUGGUUUUAUUUUCCAUGAAAAUUUAAUUGACACUGUUAUAUCGAUGAAAAAGUAAUUAAAUUCAUGACUCACAGUGCCAGUGGAAAAUUGUUCUUUGCUUAUCUCAUAACUUUCAUUGACCAUGGCGUUAGAAAAAUAUCAAAUAUUUUCAAUUUUUGCUGUAAUUGUCGUCUCAAAAUUCAUUCAGAUCUUGGACUUCUGCUGCCUGUUUCUUUUAUUGUCAUAUGUUUGAUUCUUCUGCCUUCAAAUUCAGAACAGUUCUAAUUUUUAACCGAGUUUCAGAUGAAAAAUAAAAAUCAACAAAAGCAGAAUAGGUUCCUUCCUUGAUGAACAUAUUGAUAUGCAAGGAAAACGAUCAGUUAAAGAUCAAAGCUUGUUAUUUUACUUGUCAAAGAUUGUGAAUAGUAUUCAAAACUUAAACUUUUUGUUUAUAUUGCUUCUUACCAACAUUUUUAUUAUAUUUACUACAGAGUUUGAAAAAUGAAUUUUUUUAAAAUGAUAGAAACACAUUAGUAAUUAUAAUCAUUUAGUUGAAUAAUAUUAAAGGUUAUUUUCUCUAUAUAUGACACUUUCUUAAGUUUAACAAAUCUUUUACUGUAUAUCAUCAUUGUAAGCAUUUCUUUGUUAAAAUUAUAUAUUUAUUAUUCAUUCAAAUGCAUCAAAUGCAAAAAAACACAAACUCCAGAAUAUUUUCAUUGACUUGCAUGCAUUGGUUUGUAUGUCAAACAUAUUAUUGCCAUUUUAAUUUGUUUGUUUUAAUGAAACUUUGAAAAAAUUAACUAAAAAGUGUAGUAUUUGUUAUGUUAGGUCUGGUAGUGAAAUGAGAUCAAAUAGAAGUCAUUAUUUAGAAGUGUUCUUGUUUUUUAUUGGUCAUUUUUUUGUGUAAUGUAGAGGUUUGCCUAGUUUAGAGAUUAAAGGUUUGAUAUAUUUGAUCAAAAUCCAAGUAUUUUUCUCAUAAUAAUGCGCACGCAUACAGAGAUAUUUUAUUUUAGGUGAGAGCAAUAGGGAUUAUGUGAAUGUUGAUUUAUAAAACUCCAAUCUACUGCUGAUAUGCAAAAAAUAAGAAAUACUCCAUGUCCUUAUUGAAAAGCUAUAGUUCUAAUAUCAAAUUGACCUUUAGGGUGAAGGUUACAUGUUCAUUUCAUAUAGGAAAAAAUUCAUGUGACCUUGACCUACUUAUUAAUGAGGUCAUGUUUGUUGACCUUUAAGAUGAAAGUUGCACCAGUAUACUUUGAAUGAUAAAAAAAGUGCGGUAUUGGUGUUAAAGUUAAGAUUAUUGACCUACUAGCUAUGUGUCUGGCCUAUUUACUAUGCAAUAGAAUGUUGCAUUCCUUUUUAAUUUGUUGUGAAUGACUAAUAAUCUUGACAGAAAGUAAAAUGAAGAAUAAAUGAUUUUUAGACAUGUUUUUUUUUCCGUUGAUUUAAAUAGUACUUUUUUUAAGCAAGAUUUUACCAUACAGCAUAUGAAUCCAAUUUGUUAUAUUUCAGUUUACUUUUAAGAUAAAAUCACCACAAAUAAGUCAUUUCUUUGAAUUAGGAAAGUGACCAAGAAGUUUUUUUUCCAAUCUUGAUAAUAUUAGUAUAAGAAUUUGAAAUAAUUUUUUGCAUCGUAAAUUAAUUUUAUUGUGACAGACUGUUAAUGUAGACAAAAUGUUGGUUUUAUUAUAUAUAUUGAAAAUGUUGUAAACUGUUAACACUGUGGUGGAUUCCCCGCACUUUUCAGUCUUCCUUUUUUAUAAAAUGCAGCUCUUAAAUUUCUAUCCUGAACAUAUCAUUCUUGUUUCGUGUUGUUCCUUUAUUAUUUUUUUCUCCCAACUCUGUGUUAAACUUGUGUGCAUGAUGAGAAAUUUAUGACUUAGGUGUAAAUGAUGAAUAAAUUUUAAAAUUGAAAAUUGAAAUCUUUCAAGGCUACGUAAUGAUCCUUUAAAAUUUUGCAGGGUUAAAUCUAUUGAUGACUUUUUAUGUCAAAUUUUAUGAAAAUGUAGAAAUAUCUGAAAUAAGGUCUUACAGUAUACAGUGCUUAAACUAGUAAAAAUAAUUCUCCAGAUUUUGAUGAAACUUUACAGACUGACUGUUAAAGGUCCGACCUAAUGACCUACUUGUGCAAUGUACAUAUCCUUAUUGAAAGUUUUUUCCCCAGAGUAACGGCCCUUUAAUGUAAGUAUUGCUUCAAGUGCACAUUUAAGAAGUGUGUUCAUAAUAAUGCGAAUUCUUGUUGGUAUUUGUAGGUUGCACUUUUUGUUUUUUAUUGUAAACUAAUGAUCCAUUAUUCUAGCAAUUAAAGCAAUGUAUUAAAUAACAACAACAAAAAAGUAUGCAUGAUUUUAAUGUAAGAAAUGUAGUUUGGGGUCCUCCUGGGCUCCUUGCCACUGGCUCUUGUUACUGGGUCGGGUGGGGGCUGCGUUCAUUGAACGCCGCCUUUCCUUGAUGAUCUUGUUUAUCAUAUUUUCUGCAACUUACAAAAUUUUAGCAAUUAUUGAUAACGUUUUUUUGUUUUUUUUAUCUUGAAUAGGUAGAUUAAAUCAUGGUUGUAUAAAAAAAGGCAGUUCAAAUAAAAACGAGGCAUAGAAAAGAAGAUGAUAAAAUAUUUAUAUAUAAAGAUAUUGUGUUACUAUAAAUAGCAGUUGUGUUACUAUAAAUAGUGAUUGUGUUUCUAUAAAUAGCGUAAUGUCCUAUCUGGUAGAUUUAGUCAGUGUGUUAUGUUGUGGAUGUGGUGUAGAUGUUGGAAUAUCUUGAAGACUUGGUUGAAAUUGUGAUACUUAAAUACCCCCUGCCCCCUCCUAAAACCUAGUUCUUUGCAGAUCAGUGUAUUUUAAAUGUAUGUUAUUGUUAAAUUGAAUUUUUUUUAAAGAAAAGAAGACCAUUUAUAUGAACUUUACUACUUACAGUUUAAACAGUUUGCUUUGUAUUUUCUGUUUUAUUUCAUACAAGGAUUGUAUCUAUUUUUAUCAUUUUCAAAUGUCAAAUGAUAAAGAUGUAAAUAAUGAAAGGUAUUGUUAAAAGCACAAUGCACAGUGUUUAUGAUUUAAUUUAUUUUAGUUUUUUUAAGCAAUUCUUUUUAUUUCAAUCAAUUUAGCUUGAUUUUAAGGUUAAAAUGUUCAUGAAAUAAUGAAAUUUUAGGAAGUUUUAGAUGAAUACUAGUAGUCCGUGUAAAUGAGCACAUAAUUCUAUAAAGAGGAUAUGUAAAACCCCAUUCUUUUAUCCCUACAUGUUGGGGGAAAAUUUCUGAUCACACAUAUGUAUGUUGGAUAUAUCAGAAUACACACAUGUGUUUUGAUAAAAUUACUUUACACAUAUGAAGUUUUGUAGGUUAUAUGUCACCACAUUGGGAAUUGCAAGUUAUAUGUCAAAACAUUAGAAAAUGCAGGUUAUAUGACACAACAUUAGAAAAUGCAGGUUAUAUGACACAACAUUAGAAAAUGCAGGCUAUAUGACACGACGUUAGAAAAUGCAGGUUAUAUGACACAACAUUAGAAAAUGUGUAGGUUAUAUGACACCACAUCUACAUGACUGGUACACUUUGUGACAUGACAGAUAUGUGACUGACACAUGUGACACUACAUGUGUUUGACUCUUUGGUUAUAUGUCAUCAAGCAUGUUUGACUGUUAUAUUAUGUGACAUCACUUAUACUUGAUUGGUAUAAUAUGUAAGGUAACACAUAUGUGACUAAUAAAUUAUGUGACAUAAAUUUGACUAGGAAGUAAUAUAACAUCAAAUAAAUGACUGGUAUGUUACAUGAUGUCACACAUGUCUUGUGGAUUAUAUGACAUAUAUCUGUGAUUGGUGGAUAAUGUGACAUUUUAAAUUUGUGACAGGUAGAAUAUAUGACAUUACACUUAUGUUAGUGAAUUAAAUUUGAUGACUUCACAAAUAUUUGACCUGUAGAUUUUGUGACAUCACUAAACAUUGUGACAUGUAGAUAUCAGAUUAAACACAUGUGACUGGUAGAUUAUGUGACAUCAGUUAUAUCAGAUUUGACACAUAUGUGACUGGUCAAUUAUGUGACAUCACUUAUAUCAGAUUUAACACAUAUAUGGCUGGUAGAUUAUGUGACAUCAUUUAUAUCAUAUUAUUAAACACAUAUGUGACCAACUGUAAAAUCGAGGGAGUGAUAUGAACCUCAUUUAUAUGUGUAUACCAGAUAAUAUUACAUAACACAUAUGUGUUUUUAUGAUGUAACAAUACACAUAUGUUUCAAUGCUCCAUGUAUCAAAAGCCAAGAAUGUGUUUCAAA